UGAUAUGAACCGUUAUAACCGGCGAUACCCGAAUGGGGAAACCCAGUGUGAUUCGUCACACUAUCAUUACGUGAAUACAUAGCGUAAUGAAGCGAACCGGGGGAACUGAAACAUCUAAGUACCCCGAGGAAAAGAAAUCAACCGAGAUUCCCCCAGUAGCGGCGAGCGAACGGGGAGGAGCCCAGAGCCUGAAUCAGCAUGUGUGUUAGUGGAAGCGUCUGGAAAGGCGCGCGAUACAGGGUGACAGCCCCGUACACAAAAGCGCAUGUGUUGUGAGCUCGAUGAGUAGGGCGGGACACGUGGUAUCCUGUCUGAAUAUGGGGGGACCAUCCUCCAAGGCUAAAUACUCCUGACUGACCGAUAGUGAACCAGUACCGUGAGGGAAAGGCGAAAAGAACCCCGGCGAGGGGAGUGAAAAAGAACCUGAAACCGUGUACGUACAAGCAGUGGGAGCACCCUUUGGGGUGUGACUGCGUACCUUUUGUAUAAUGGGUCAGCGACUUAUAUUCUGUAGCAAGGUUAACCGAAUAGGGGAGCCGGAGGGAAACCGAGUCUUAAUUGGGCGUUAAGUUGCAGGGUAUAGACCCGAAACCCGGUGAUCUAGCCAUGGGCAGGUUGAAGGUUGGGUAACACUAACUGGAGGACCGAACCGACUAAUGUUGAAAAAUUAGCGGAUGACCUGUGGCUGGGGGUGAAAGGCCAAUCAAACCGGGAGAUAGCUGGUUCUCCCCGAAAGCUAUUUAGGUAGCGCCUCGUGAAUUCAUCUCCGGGGGUAGAGCACUGUUUCGGCUAGGGGGCCAUCCCGGCUUACCAACCCGAUGCAAACUGCGAAUACCGGAGAAUGUUAUCACGGGAGACACACGGCGGGUGCUAACGUCCGUCGUGAAGAGGGAAACAACCCAGACCGCCAGCUAAGGUCCCAAAGUCAUGGUUAAGUGGGAAACGAUGUGGGAAGGCCCAGACAGCCAGGAUGUUGGCUUAGAAGCAGCCAUCAUUUAAAGAAAGCGUAAUAGCUCACUGGUCGAGUCGGCCUGCGCG
rnacentral:rRNA from 1 species